rnacentral:rRNA from 1 species
UAGGGAAUCUUCGGCAAUGGGGGGAACCCUGACCGAGCAACGCCGCGUGAGUGAAGAAGGUUUUCGGAUCGUAAAGCUCUGUUGUUAAGGAAGAACGAGUGUGAGAAUGGAAAGUUCAUACUGUGACGGUACUUAACCAGAAAGGGACGGCUAACUACGUGCCAGCAGCCGCGGUAAUACGUAGGUCCCGAGCGUUGUCCGGAUUUAUUGGGCGUAAAGCGAGCGCAGGCGGUCAAUUAAGUCUGAUGUGAAAGCCCCCGGCUCAACCGGGGAGGGUCAUUGGAAACUGGUUGACUUGAGUGCAGAAGAGGAGAGUGGAAUUCCAUGUGUAGCGGUAAAAUGCGUAGAUAUAUGGAGGAACACCAGUGGCGAAGGCGACUCUCUGGUCUGUAACUGACGCUGAGGCUCGAAAGCGUGGGUAGCAAACAGG